rnacentral:lncRNA from 1 species
UCUCUUCUCUCCCUCUCUCUCUAGAAGACAAAGGAGAAGAAGAAGAAAGGAAGAAAAGAAGGAAAGGAAGGAGAAGAAAGUGAAGAAGAAGAUCAAAGAGCAAAAGGAGCUUCAUCUUCUUCCUCUCUAGUGCAAGUUAGGGCAAGCUUUGAGGUAAGCUUUGCCCCUUUUGAUGAUUACUCCCAAACUAGGGUUUGGGUAGACCUAGAAUUGGUUUUUAUGGAGUUUUUAGAGUAUUUGAAGCUUUCUUUUUGCUUCUUUAGAGAUCAAAACCAUGGUUGAGCUCAAGGUGAGCUUCAACCCACCUCUAAUGGUGAAAUCCAAACUAGGGUUUGGAGUGAGCUAAGAAUGGUUCUAAUGGACUAUUU